GACGAACGCUGGCGGCGUGCUUAACACAUGCAAGUCGUACGGUAAGGCCCUUUCGGGGGUACACGAGUGGCUAACGGGCGAGUAACACGUGCGUAACCUGCCCACCACUUUGGGAUAACGAUAGGAAACUGGCGCUAAUACUGAAUAUGUACUCCUGCUGCAUGGAGGGGGUUGGAAAACACCGGGGGUUGUGGUUGGAUCCACGGCCUCUCAGGUUGUUGGUGGGGUAGUGGCCUGCCACGGCGGAGCAGGGUAGCCGGCCCGGGAGGGUGACCGGCCACAUUGGGACUGAGAGAGGGCCCAGACGCCUACGGGAGGCAACAGUGGGGAAUAUUGCACAAUGGGCGCAAGCCUGAUGCAGCAGCGCCGCGUGCGGGAUGACGGCCUUCGGGUUGUAAACCGCUUUCAGCAGGGACGAAGCAUUUUGUGACGGUACCUGCAGAAGAAGCACCGGCUAACUACGUG
rnacentral:rRNA from 1 species